AAACAGAAAGUGAAAAAUUUACACGUGGUUUCGGCCCGCUUCUAGGUAGUGCAAUUCUGCCUCUGUUAA
rnacentral:tRNA from 1 species